CCUACGGUAGGCAGCAGUGAGGAAUAUUUGUCAAUGGGCGCGAGCCUGAACCAGCCAAGCCGCGUGCAGGAUGAAGGAUCUAUGAGUUGUAAACUGCUUUUAUAUGAGGAUAAAGUGAGGAACGUGUUUCGUUUUGUAAGUACCAUAUGAAUAAGCAUCGGCUAACUCCGUGCCAGCAGCCGCGGUAAUACGGAGGAUUCGAGCGUUAUCCGGAUUUAUUGGGUUUAAAGGGUGCGUAGGUGGUUAAUUAAGUCAGUUGUGAAAGUUUGCGGCUCAACCGUAGAACUGCAGUUGAGACUGGCAGUCUGGAGUACAGUAGAGGUAGGCGGAAUUCGUGGUGUAGCGGUGAAAUGCAUAGAUAUCACGCAGAACUCCGAUUGCGAAGGCAGCUCACCGGACUGCAACUGACACUGAUGCUCGAAAGCGUGGGUAUCAAACAGGAUUAGAUACCCUUGUAGUC
rnacentral:rRNA from 1 species